ACACCACCCACACACACCACCACGCCCUGUCCCCUUUCUCCACCCUGCAAGCUAGUUGCAUUUACCUCACAGAGCCUGGGCUGCGACUUGAAAGACUUUAGGCAGCAACAGAGUGACCCUGGGGGUGCUCUUGACCGACAGCCGCACCUCCGGCGUCUAGGACCUCCGAGCAGGGAUGCAUCUGGGGGUCUAGGGAAGCACUUCCACCCCCUCCUCUCCUCAACCCUGGCAGGAUGUGCCCGAAAUGCCAGCUCCUCCUUGGUGUUCUCCUUUCAAGAUUUGAAUUCAAAUCCCAUAUUGGCAGCCCUGAUACCGCUGGGGGAAGGGUGAGGUAGGAAAAGUCCCACCAAUAUCCUAAGGGGAGGUGCGAGUGGCUACCAGGAUGUGAGAUGUCUGUGGACAAAGUCCCUGCUUAUUCCAUGAGGGGCUGUGAGAUUAGGACUGUGGCUGGAUGCCCCUUCCUCCAACAACUCCAUCUCAGCAUGAAGUUGAGGCUUUAAAACCCUGACAAACUGUGGGUGACUGUCUCUACUUAAUUCCUCCUCCCAAACUCUU
rnacentral:sRNA from 1 species